rnacentral:lncRNA from 1 species
CUUCUAUCACUGGACAAGCUCGUUGAUUGGAAGUUCUGGUACAAUGGUAAAGAAGACCAGAACUGUCAAUGUUAUUGGAAUGGAUAAUCAGAAUUGCUUGUGCAAGAUUUUACUUUGGUCUGGGAGCUAAAAUAUACCACUAAUAGCAUCAGAUUCACCUCGAUGCAAUACUGUGUUGCUGUGUAAUAGGUAGCUCAUUCUGGCAUGUUGUUGAAGGAUACUUUGACAAGAACCCUCCUGUGUAUCUUCAGUUCCAUCGCUGGUCUGCUCCUUUUCUCUGUUCAGAGAACACAGUCUGAACAUGUGGUGUUUGUUCUCUUCCUCCUAUGAAGUAUAGACAGAAUUACAAUUACAGUAAAAAGUAGGAAAUCCAAAGAGAUUCAUAUUCCAACUUGUCUAUUGGAUAGUUCAUAAAACAAAAUGCAGGAUUAUACAUUUUGGAGAGGUGGUGGCGAGCCAAAGUUCAAAAUGUUUUGAGAUAAAAAUUGAAGUCUGCUAUUUUAAUCAGAAUCCAAUCCAAGCCUACUUUAUUUGUUACAUAAAUAAAUUCCAUCGGGAGGACGAUGCUCCUUGCCAACAUAGCAGCCCCUGACACUGAAAUGAGGUGUGUGUCGACCUUCGCCAAUUGCAUCUCCAUUGUGUCUUCCAUCAAUUUCUCUGAUAAGCUGAAUAACAUGUGGGGUUUUCGUUACCUCAAAUAUUUCCUUCAGGUUUUUAUGCUAGGCCUCGCUCAGCGCAGCCCACUGAACAGGAGCAUUUGGACUUAAUGGGCCGAUGGUCCUAGCAGCAAUGACAACAAAAUCAGUUAAGUAAUUUUAGUUCCAUAGCACCAGAGCAUAGCUCCAAGAGAAUCCUUGGCAUAUAAAAGGGGAUUUUAUCAGUCAUGUCAUGCUCUAGUAAUUUACACAGCAGCACAAGACCAUUUCAAGAAACCGUUAAAUAUAAUGAAGAACAAGUAUUUGAUGCAAAGAUUGUUGAUAUGAUGUAGCUUAACAGCAGAGAAGAUUACAAACUAUAAUUUCCAGAAAAAGCAUAGAGUGGAGGUCAACCCUUAAUUUAAAGUGAAUGGACAAACCAUACAAUCUGAUUUACAUGUAGAUAUGAUUUUUAAAGUUUUGAACAGAAUACUUAAAAUGCUACUCCACAGUCAAAGUUCUAAAACGUUGACUAAACGCGUGUCUAAAACAUCAGCUAUUUGUGAUAUAUACGAGAUUACAAAAUGGGCCUCACAAAAGGAUAAAACCUGGAUCUAUGCUGGGCAUGUAAAGUGAUGACCGAUGAGUCAUAUGGAUUACUGAUCUUGCAUGACAGUCAGAUAACAUGUGUCAAAAAGUAUAUUUGAUGAUCAUCCAAGAUUAGACUUGUAGCACCACCUAACACAAUCAUACCAAAUGAUCAGUUAGAAAAGGGGAAAAACAGACACUUUACAAAAGCUAUCUAGGAAAGAAAUGGGAUGCAGCAAAUCAUGCCAUGAUACCUAUAAAUAUAAUACCAAAGAAGAUCCUCAUCCAUCAUCCUUUAACCAAAUAUAUAUAUCAAAUCAAACUAAUAACCAGACAUCAUGAAGACCUUGUUCAUCCUCGCUCUCCUCACCCUCGAGGGGACCAACGCUGUUGCGCAGUUGGACACUACCUGUAACCAGGGCUCCGAGCAAUGUCAGCAGCAGCAACAACCAUGGCAACAAUGGCAGCAGCAGAUGGACCCAUGUGUGCAAUUCCUGCGGCACCAAUGCAGCACAGUGACACUGCCAUUUGUGCAGUCGCGUAUGUGGCAACUUAGCAGUUGCCAUAUAAUGCGACACCAGUGCUGCCAGCAGCUAGCGCAGAUCCCAGAACAGUUCAGGUGCCAUGCUAUCCACAACGUGGCUCAAGCCAUCAUGCAGCCGCAGCCCCAACAGCAGUGGCAGGGCAUGUACCAGCCCCAGCAACAAGCUCCGCUUGAGAUCAUGAUGAUGUCGCUUCAGAUCUUGCCGUCGAUGUGCAGCGUGUACGUCCCGGCAUACUGCCAGGUGUAGCGGUGGAUGAGUCUGUGAAUCAGUAAGAGUGCCUGUACUAGUUGCAACUUGGAAAUAACAACCAACAUCUGUUUCUGGAUGAAUAAAGGAUUUUCCUGACUAACAUUGCAUGUCUUGCAUGAUAGAUGAAAUCUAAGACGCAUCUGACUGAACUGGACCAUCAUCAUACUCUGUGCCUCAAAAGUUUACAGCAUGGAGAGAGAGAGAGUACAUGAAGAAGAUGUUGGAAAUAUGAGCAAUUUACCAAAUGAUUUUAUUAGCAGAAAUACUAGAUAAAGCAUGACUAAUAUAGCAGAGAUAAAACAAGUCAUGCUAUCUGAUAGAGAGAAGGUAAAUAGCAUCUGCAUGUGUGAACUAGAAUCAAACAUAUCUAGAGCAGACACUAGAGCCAGAAACUGCAGGAGAACCUCAAACAGAAAGAGCAUGAAUAUGUAGGUACAGCAGCAGAAGCACUGGUCUUGGGGUCAGCAUCCUUGCCAGCCAUGUCGUCGAAGAGGUUGUCGACGUCGGGGAAGAAGUCAUCGUUGAGGAAGUGGUCGUCGGUGUCUGGAGCGUCCAUGAUCAACAGGUCAGUAGUCGCGUAAAGCGCUCCCCAAAAACCUUAUCACCCUUCUCCCGUACAGGACUGAAAGAGGUGCGGUUCCGGAGGCCUACUGUCCCAACUUGCAGUGCACGCCGCAAAGCGGGAUGUGGAAGAUCGUAGCAGCAGCUCAAAGAUUGGAACUCAGUGGCGAGAGGGAGAUUAUCCAGCAGUCGAAGGGAUGUGCCGUUCGCAUUCAGUCUCCACUAUAGUAAAAAUCUUUUCAGCUUCCAUGUGACUUUUCGUAUACCAGUUGUGCGUGGCAAAAAUUUAGACAUCGGCUCAUUCCCGCAACCCGCGGCUCGUCGUGCCGAGGCGGGCGGCGAAGGAGUACGCGUGAAUGUCCCUCUUGUUCUCAUGCUCAUACAUGUGGGGAAACAACCUCCCUUGUAAGGAGGUCCAACUCCGACCAAACUAGCAAUGUGGGACUAAACUUUGGUUCCACCUCUUGCAUUGCACGAAUGGGCUGUGUGGGCCUUUAGGAUUUAUUAGGAAUUUCUGGAAUUGUAUUGGACUGGCCCAAAAUAUGGAUAAAAUUCCAGCAGAAGAGAGACCAGAUCAAGGGAUAUACAUACAUGAACGAGCUUUAUACAAAAAAUUAACGGAUUUGAUAACAGCAUUGGCAUACCCAGACUUCUUGUUCAGUACAAAUGAUAAACCUCAACCAAAAUGCUACAAAUCAAUUAAAUGUUACUCAGUACAAACUAAUUGAUUGAGAAACGGAAGAGACAGGUAAGGGUGGGUGAGCGCGAAAAAUGCCAACGAAGGCCGAGCUCUAGUGAGCUCAUUUUCAAAUUUUAUUUUUCCGGAGCGCAAAAAAAUCCAAAUUUUAUCUAGUGAGCUCAACGAAGACGACCGCUUGCCAGACGCCGGGACGCCGACUCCACCGCCUGCUCUUUCUGCAAGGCCUGUGCUCUCCCCCCUCCACUCUCUCCCAAACCCUAGAUAGCUCCAAUCUUUUUUAUUUGUUCAUUUGUCGCUUAUAUUUGUUCAUGUAGCAACAGCGCGCUCUGUGUUUGUUGGCAGGAUUAGAUUCAUGCAAGUGCAAGAUAUCUGGGAUGGAUGUCAUGUCAGGGUGACAGGGUCUACUUUAUUUUUCUUAGCAGAAAAAUAGAUUGUUUUGUGUACAACGUGCCCCGCGAAACAAUGUAAAGCAGCACGCAUAAAUAUUUUGGUGCACUGAGCGUUCUCGUAUCUAUGGGACAUUGUUGUCGCUAGAGUUUCCGGCCAGGACCUUUUCACUCUUCAGUCUCGUGUUCUGAAGAUGUUAUGUAGCUUAUCCAUUAGACCUAUUUGAAGAGGGUUCCGUUACUAACAUGUUUACUUUCAUUGUAGGUAACGUAUUUGGUUUCAAAGCCCUACGUGCUCUACGUUUGGAGGAUCUACGAAUUCCCCCUACUUAUUCAAAAACUUUCCAAGGCCUGCCUCAUGGUAUCCAAGUUGAAAGAGAUAAGUUGAACAAGUAUGGUCGUCCUUUAUUGGGAUGUACUAUUAAACCAAAAUUGGGAUUAUCCGCAAAAAAUUAUGGUAGAGCGUGUUAUGAGUGUCUACGUGGUGGACUUGAUUUUACCAAAGAUGAUGAAAACGUAAACUCACAACCAUUUAUGCGCUGGAGAGACCGUUUUGUCUUUUGUGCCGAAGCUACUUAUAAAUCACAGGCCGAAACCGGUGAAAUCAAGGGGCAUUACUUGAAUGCGACUGCGGGUACAUGUGAAGAAAUGAUUAAGAGAGCUGUAUUUGCAAGAGAAUUAGGGGUUCCUAUUGUAAUGCAUGACUACUUAACCGGGGGAUUCACCGCAAAUACUACUUUGGCUCAUUAUUGCCGCGACAAUGGCCUACUUCUUCACAUUCACCGUGCAAUGCAUGCAGUUAUUGAUAGACAGAAAAAUCAUGGUAUGCAUUUCCGUGUAUUAGCUAAAGCAUUGCGUAUGUCUGGGGGAGAUCAUAUCCACUCCGAUACAGUAGUAGGUAAGUUAGAAGGGGAACGCGAAAUGACUUUAGGUUUUGUUGAUUUAUUGCGCGAUGAUUUUAUUGAAAAAGAUCGUGCUCGUGGUAUCUUUUUCACUCAGGACUGGGUAUCCAUGCCAGGUGUUAUACCGGUAGCUUCAGGUGGUAUUCAUGUUUGGCAUAUGCCAGCUCUGACCGAAAUCUUUGGGGAUUA